GCUAUUACAGUAGAACAACAGUGGACGCAAANNNNNNNNNNNNNNNNNNNNNNNNNUCUGUCUGUCUGUCUGUCUGUCUGUCUGUCUGUCUGUCUGUCUGUCUGUCUGUCUGUCUGUCUGUCUGUCUGUGUCUCUGUCUGUCUGUGUCUCUGUCUGUCUGUGUCUCUGUCUGUCUGUGUCUCUGUCUGUCUGUCUGUGUCUCUCACCUCUAUGUCUCUGUGUUAUUGUCUAUAUGGGUCCUAUAGAGGCGUGGUGUGAGGAGGCUUGUGCUGCACCCUCAGUAUGACCCCUCCUCCCAGGACUAUGAUGUGGCCCUGCUACAGCUGGACUCCCCGCUGCUCAUCACUGAGCAUGCCUUGUCCGUCUGUCUGCCCUGCUCGGGACCGGAAGUCCCACAAUCCCAGGUCUGCAUGCUUUCAUCGUGGGAGAGUCAGACAGGUGGACCAUGGAACAGCACUGUUGAGCCGCUAGAGGUGCCACUUGUGAGUCAUGCGGACUGUGAGCGUUAUAACACUGGUAGACUGACCGCUAGAAUGCUGUGUGCUGGGCCGCCACAGCAUCGUGGACAGGACACGUGCACGGGUCCAGGUGAUUCUGGGGGAGCACUGGUGUGUCAGAUAAAGGACUCUGGUUACUUUGUCCUGGGAGUGAGCAGCCGAAAGGAAGGCUGUGGGAAGUUCCAGAGGCCAGGAGUCUACACCUCAGUCCCCAUGAUGACAGACUGGAUUCACGAACAACUCCACGAAGAUUCAGCUGACUCCUCUAGAACCCUGCCAUACCAGAAGCAGCAGGAGGAGCUGGCCUUCAGCAUAGAUUAUGAUGAUAAUAACUAUGGAGCGGAGUCAUCUGGAGAAUCCUAUUAGCCUUGACCCACCUAGCUUGAGGCUGGAGGACCAUGUGGUAUUCUUACGGAGUCGAGCUGCUUUUUGUUGCUUGCAUAUACCGCUCAGAAAUUAAGCAGACAAAGCGGUUCUAACAGAGACAUGAUUUGAAAAAGGGAACAUCCAAUCAGCACAAAUUCC
rnacentral:lncRNA from 1 species